rnacentral:rRNA from 1 species
UGCAGUCGAGCGGUGAACAGAUCUAGCUUGCUAGAUGCUGACGAGCGGCGGACGGGUGAGUAAUGCAUAGGAAACUGCCCAGUAGUGGGGGAUAGCCCGGGGAAACCCGGAUUAAUACCGCGUACGCCCUUCGGGGGAAAGCAGGGGAUCUUCGGACCUUGCGCUAUUGGAUGUGCCUAUGUCGGAUUAGCUAGUUGGUGGGGUAAAGGCCUACCAAGGCGACAAUCCGUAGCUGGUCUGAGAGGAUGAUCAGCCACAUCGGGACUGAGACACGGCCCGAACUCCUACGGGAGGCAGCAGUGGGGAAUAUUGGACAAUGGGGGCAACCCUGAUCCCAGCCAUGCCGCGUGUGUGAAGAAGGCUUUCGGGUUGUAAAGCACUUUCAGUGAGGAGGAAAACUCUGCGACUAAUACUCGUAGGGCUUGACGUUACUCACAGAAGAAGCACCGGCUAACUCCGUGCCAGCAGCCGCGGUAAUACGGAGGGUGCAAGCGUUAAUCGGAAUUACUGGGCGUAAAGCGCGCGUAGGUGGUUUGAUAAGCGAGAUGUGAAAGCCCCGGGCUUAACCUGGGAACGGCAUUUCGAACUGUCAGGCUAGAGUAUGGUAGAGGGGUAGUGGAAUUUCCUGUGUAGCGGUGAAAUGCGUAGAUAUAGGAAGGAACACCAGUGGCGAAGGCGGCUACCUGGACCAAUACUGACACUGAGGUGCGAAAGCGUGGGGAGCAAACAGGAUUAGAUACCCUGGUAGUCCACGCCGUAAACGAUGUCUACUAGCCGUUGGGACUCUUGAAGUCUUAGUGGCGCAGCUAACGCACUAAGUAGACCGCCUGGGGAGUACGGCCGCAAGGUUAAAACUCAAAUGAAUUGACGGGGGCCCGCACAAGCGGUGGAGCAUGUGGUUUAAUUCGACGCAACGCGAAGAACCUUACCUGGCCUUGACAUGCAGAGAACUUUCCAGAGAUGGAUUGGUGCCUUCGGGAACUCUGACACAGGUGCUGCAUGGCCGUCGUCAGCUCGUGUCGUGAGAUGUUGGGUUAAGUCCCGUAACGAGCGCAACCCCUAUCCCUAGUUGCUAGCAGUUCGGCUGAGAACUCUAGGGAGACUGCCGGUGACAAACCGGAGGAAGGUGGGGAUGACGUCAGGUCAUCAUGGCCCUUACGGCCAGGGCUACACACGUGCUACAAUGGUGCGCACAGAGGGCUGCAAACCCGCGAGGGGGAGCCAAUCUCACAAAACGCAUCGUAGUCCGGAUCGCAGUCUG